rnacentral:rRNA from 1 species
UGGAUCCAGACUUUGAUCAUGGCUCAGGAUGAACGCUAGCUACAGGCUUAACACAUGCAAGUCGAGGGGAAACGACAUCGAAAGCUUGCUUUUGAUGGGCGUCGACCGGCGCACGGGUGAGUAACGCGUAUCCAACCUGCCCACCACUUGGGGAUAACCUUGCGAAAGUAAGACUAAUACCCAACGAUAUCUCUAGAAGGCAUCAGAAAGAGAUUAAAGAUUUAUCGGUGAUGGAUGGGGAUGCGUCUGAUUAGCUUGUUGGCGGGGUAACGGCCCACCAAGGCUACGAUCAGUAGGGGUUCUGAGAGGAAGGUCCCCCACAUUGGAACUGAGACACGGUCCAAACUCCUACGGGAGGCAGCAGUGAGGAAUAUUGGUCAAUGGACGAGAGUCUGAACCAGCCAAGUAGCGUGCAGGAUGACGGCCCUAUGGGUUGUAAACUGCUUUUAUAAGGGAAUAAAGUGAGUCUCGUGAGACUUUUUGCAUGUACCUUAUGAAUAAGGACCGGCUAAUUCCGUGCCAGCAGCCGCGGUAAUACGGAAGGUCCGGGCGUUAUCCGGAUUUAUUGGGUUUAAAGGGAGCGUAGGCCGGAGAUUAAGCGUGUUGUGAAAUGUAGAUGCUCAACAUCUGCACUGCAGCGCGAACUGGUUUCCUUGAGUACGCACAAAGUGGGCGGAAUUCGUGGUGUAGCGGUGAAAUGCUUAGAUAUCACGAAGAGCUCCGAUUGCGAAGGCAGCUCACUGGAGCGCAACUGACGCUGAAGCUCGAAAGUGCGGGUAUCGAACAGGAUUAGAUACCCUGGUAGUCCGCACGGUAAACGAUGGAUGCCCGCUGUUGGUCUGAAUAGGUCAGCGGCCAAGCGAAAGCAUUAAGCAUCCCACCUGGGGAGUACGCCGGCAACGGUGCAACUCAAAUGAAUUGACGGA